GCCGUCAUCAACAUAGGAACAGUCUAAGGACCCUCCUGAACUACUACCCUUUAUAACUGGACAAAUUCCACUGUCACGUAUCAACCUUGCCUGUGUGCCACGACACUUUGUUAUCAACAACGACGUAGGUAAUGGAUCCUAUCGAAAUUUUACGCCGCCUCCGCAGUCCUUAGAUAGUUUGGAACCUCGAUUCCUUUGCCGAGCCCCACGUUAGUCACUACGAGACAAUCUGAACCAAGCAACUUUCCAUGAUUGUACGUCCCUACCCUAGCGGUUGGACGAUGCCUAGGAAAAAGCAAUACUUAUGGCUCCCGUCACCCACCCUACUACAACAGGUCACCGACAUUGCAGCCCCUGAACGGAUUCGAGAGUCAAACACAACAAACCAACCUGUUAAAACUCAGUUACCGCCAACCACCGCUAAAAUCAAACGCCCCGAGAUCAAGCUAGCCGAACAGACUGCCACAAAACCAACUUUUACUGAAUACACCCCUAGUUUUAAACAGCCCAAACGGAGAAUCUCUAGACUUCCCUCCGUUUGGGCCUUAAUUACGAAGCCAAUAUGUUUUGUUUUCCAAUACAAAGAAUAUUUUUUAACUA